rnacentral:lncRNA from 1 species
AGUACAUGUACAUUUUACACUCUAUCAUUGAUAAUAAUUAAAUAUAUAAAAUAUUGUCAUUAUUUGUAAGUGUUUCAUUAUUAUUCAAUUUUAAAAGUAAAAAUAGUUGGUCGUGAAUCCAGGAGGAGCAACAAAAUGGAAUCAAAACAAUGUCUUAUUGCUGGACUUGCGUUUAUGGGCGUGUGUGCCUUUUUCGUGAUUGCCUAUUUCUUAUUGGCAUUUUAUGCAAUUAUUUAAUGGUUUUUAUAUAUAAAUGUCAACCAACACUCAUCAAAUUAAUUAAACUUUUUGGAAGAGUUAGGAAAGACAA